CCCCCUUGCCCUUCAACCACGUGAAGACACAAUGGGAAGAUGACCCUCUGUGGGCCAGGAAGUGGGCCUUCACCAGACACCCAUUCUGCUGGCCCCUACCUUGGACUUCACAGCCCCAGGAUGGUGAGGAGUGAACUUUGUUGUUUGUCAGCCACCCAGUCUAUGGUACUCUGUUAUGGCCGCCCACAUGGACUAAGACAACUGAGUUCUCAUAAGGUGAUAUAUGAUUCCAUGUAAUGUGAAGUGGCAGAAGCUCG